rnacentral:rRNA from 1 species
AUGCUUGCCUUCGCUGACGAGUGGCGGACGGGUGAGUAAUACUUAGGGAUCUGCCUUCGGGAGGGGGAUAACCAUUGGAAACGAUGGCUAAUACCGCAUAACGUCUACGGACCAAAGGGGGCUUCGGCUCUCACCUGAAGAGGAACCUAAGCGAGAUUAGCUUGUUGGUGAGGUAAAGGCUCACCAAGGCGACGAUCUCUAGCUGUUCUGAGAGGAAGAUCAGCCACACUGGGACUGAGACACGGCCCAGACUCCUACGGGAGGCAGCAGUGGGGAAUAUUGCACAAUGGGGGAAACCCUGAUGCAGCCAUGCCGCGUGUGUGAAGAAGGCCUUCGGGUUGUAAAGCACUUUCAGUCGUGAGGAAAGGUUAAUGGUUAAUACCCAUUAGCUGUGACGUUAGCGACAGAAGAAGCACCGGCUAACUCCGUGCCAGCAGCCGCGGUAAUACGGAGGGUGCGAGCGUUAAUCGGAAUUACUGGGCGUAAAGCGCACGCAGGCGGAUUGUUAAGCUAGAGGUGAAAGCCCCGCGCUCAACGUGGGAAUUGCCUUUAGAACUGGCAGUCUAGAGUCUUGGAGAGGGGGGUGGAAUUCCAGGUGUAGCGGUGAAAUGCGUAGAGAUCUGGAGGAACAUCAGUGGCGAAGGCGGCCCCCUGGCCAAAGACUGACGCUUAUGUGCGAAAGUGUGGGUAGCGAACAGGAUUAGAUACCCUGGUAGUCCACACCGUAAACGCUGUCUACUAGCUGUUUGUGUAUUUAAUACGUGAGUAGCGUAGCUAACGCGCUAAGUAGACCGCCUGGGGAGUACGGCCGCAAGGUUAAAACUCAAAUGAAUUGA